UGAUACUUUUACAAUAAUAUGUUUAUUCUAAUAAAAGUAUCUUGUUAGUGUUUUUCUAAUAUACAGUAAUAUAAUUUUAAAAUACAGCCAAUUUGCACAGACUACAGCUGUAUCUACCUCUUGUACUACACCUGUAUCUACCUCUUGUGCUACACCUGGUAAGUUAAACAACUAUUAGUUUUUAAUGUGCAAACUUUAUAAUAUGUUUAACUUUAGUUCCUUAGUCAUCUUUUGCAACUAGUAAUUUAAUAAACUAUUACAUUUAAUAUGUAUAUACAUUUCUUGUUAUUUGCUAUAUUGAUUUUUUGU
rnacentral:lncRNA from 1 species